GGAAGGAUCAUUAACGAAUUGUAAUGGGUGUUGAUGCUGGCAGCCAUUCUUUGGCUGCAUGUGCUCGCAUCCGACAAAUCUUUAUCCCAAACACCUGUGCACCUUUAGAGGGUUUCUAAGUAGAUUGCCGUUUCUGGUGAUUUUUCUUAGAUCCCCCCUUCUUUCACAUACACUGCUUAUAAUAUUGAACGUGUUGCGGCCGGUAAGGCCUUAAUAAAAAUACAACUUUUAACAACGGAUCUCUUGGCUCUCGCAUCGAUGAAGAACGCAGCGAAAUGCGAUAAGUAAUGUGAAUUGCAGAAUUCAGUGAAUCAUCGAAUCUUUGAACGCACCUUGCGCUCCCUGGUAUUCCGGGGAGCACGCCUGUUCGAGUGUCGUGAAAUUCUCAAGCUGGAUGCUUUUUUUGUUCAACAUUAAAAGCGGUCUUAGUUUGGUUAUUGGGCUUUGCCGUGUCCUUUAUUGGAAUGGCUGGCCUUAAAGGCAUUAGCUGACCCUCAUGUGGCAUUGGUUCUACUCAGCGUGAUAAUAAUCUGACCGCUGAAGACAUCUUUCGGGAUGGCCAAUUCUCGUUUGGGUUGCUUUCUAAUCUGGUUAACGGAUUCUUAAUCAAGAAACUGUUCCACUUUCACUUUUGACCUCGAAUCAGG
rnacentral:rRNA from 1 species